UACGUAGGGUGCAAGCGUUAAUCGGAAUUACUGGGCGUAAAGCGUGCGUAGGCGGUUCGUUAAGUCUGUUGUGAAAGCCCCGGGCUCAACCUGGGAAUGGCAAUGGAUACUGGCGAGCUAGAGUGUGUCAGAGGAUGGUGGAAUUCCCGGUGUAGCGGUGAAAUGCGUAGAGAUCGGGAGGAACAUCAGUGGCGAAGGCGGCCAUCUGGGACAACACUGACGCUGGAGGCACGAAAGCGUGGGGAGCAAACAGG
rnacentral:rRNA from 1 species